UACGGGGGGGGCAAGCGUUGUUCGGAAUUACUGGGCGUAAAGGGCGCGUAGGCGGCCUUCUAAGUCGGACGUGAAAUCCCUCGGCUCAACCGAGGAACUGCGUCCGAUACUGGAGGGCUUGAAUCCGGGAGAGGGAUGUGGAAUUCCAGGUGUAGCGGGGAAAUGCGUAGAUAUCUGGAGGAACACCGGUGGCGAAGGCGGCAUCCUGGACCGGCAUUGACGCUGAGGCGCGAAAGCCAGGGGAGCAAACGGG
rnacentral:rRNA from 1 species